AGUGAACGCUGGCGGUAGGCCUAACACAUGCAAGUCGAACGGCAGCACAGGAGAGCUUGCUCUCUGGGUGGCGAGUGGCGGACGGGUGAGGAAUACAUCGGAAUCUACUUUUUCGUGGGGGGUAACGUAGGGAAACUUACGCUAAUACCGCAUACGACCUACGGGUGAAAGCAGGUGACCUUCGGGCCUUGCGCGAUUGAAUGAGCCGAUGUCGGAUUAGCUAGUUGGCGGGGUAAAGGCCCACCAAGGCGACGAUCCGUAGCUGGUCUGAGAGGAUGAUCAGCCACACUGGAACUGAGACACGGUCCAGACUCCUACGGGAGGCAGCAGUGGGGAAUAUUGGACAAUGGGCGCAAGCCUGAUCCAGCCAUACCGCGUGGGUGAAGAAGGCCUUCGGGUUGUAAAGCCCUUUUGUUGGGAAAGAAAUCCAGCUGGCUAAUACCCGGUUGGGAUGACGGUACCCAAAGAAUAAGCACCGGCUAACUUCGUGCCAGCAGCCGCAGUAA
rnacentral:rRNA from 1 species